GACAGAGGUGCCAAGCGUUAGGCGGAAUCACUGGGCUUAAAGCGUGUGUAGGCGGAAUUGUAAGUACCUUGUGAAAUCCCACGGCUCAACCGUGGAACUGCUCGGUAUACUGCUUUUCUUGAGCCACUUAGGGGCUGUCGGAACAAACGGUGGAGCGGUGAAAUGCGUAGAUAUCGUCUGGAACGCCAACGGUGAAAACAGACAGCUGGGAGUGUGCUGACGCUGAGACACGAAAGCCAGAGGAGCGAACGGG
rnacentral:rRNA from 1 species